AAGACUUGAAGAAGAGUUUUAUACCUUCGGUUUCUAUGAUGAAACAAAAAAAUAAAAGAGAGCGUAAAAAACUGAUGCAUAAAAACAAUAUCACUAACCUUUCUUGAAUGAAAGGUCAGAAUAUCCAACCUUUCACGCGGGGAUGGAAAAUCACAGAAAAGGAGGCGAUCAAGCCUACCUGGUAUCAGCAAUGCAACAUCAAGCAAAUCUGGUCUACUACUUAUGAGAAGAAUUUAAGUCAAUUUUUAUUAAAGCCAUGCAACUUAUAAGGAAAACCAUGAAAUAAAAAAUUCAUAUAUUUAUGGAAAACCUUGAAAUCAAGAAACAUAUUAUCUUUUAAAAAUUUUGUGCUACUUGAAAAGCUAUCUUAUUUGGGUAUGCAUCUCAUGUCAAAAUUGAUCACGUGAAGAUAAUAACAAACCAAACUCAACAUUGUGGAGAUUAACCGAAGAUUAAGGAUAGAUACUAUCAAAAUAAUACAAUAGGAUUCCAUGAGAACAAACAUUGUUGCAACAAACACAAAUACACCAGUCAAAACUUCAAAACCAUCUAAUUUAGUUAGGAAUUGUUUGAAAGCAAAAUAACAAUGAGAAAGACAUCAAAAGUUAAGGCAAAAUAAUAAAAUGCAGCAAAAAAAAAAUCUAACUUUGUUGACAACUUGAUCAGUUACUCCAGUGUUGUCAUGUCAUCUUUUAGGGGUAAUGGAAUCAAAUUCAUCAAAAAAGUUAAAAAAUAUCUUGAACCUGAAAUGAUAUUGAGCAUGAACCAUUAAUUAUAUUUUAACAGUAGAAACACAUUAAUAUAUUUCCAUAACAUAUGAUGAGUUGAACUUAAUAGUCAAUAAGAUAUGCAUGCUUCAGCAUCCUAGUCCUUUGGGCACUAGAAUAAGUUAAUAAAUCUACAAAUUUGCAAAGUUUACAUUGACAGUAAUAUAUUACGUUAGUCCUAUACCCUUCAAUACAAUACUUAAAAUGCAUGUAACACAAACUUGCUACUAAAUUUCAUUUUAGGCAAGGUAAUUACUAAUAAUACUUACACAUUAUGCAUUUACACGGCUCACUAGAAAUUAUUGUUUAUAUCUGUUAUUUUUUACAUACUAGGUUUGAAUUAUAAUAAAUAUUACUGGCAUAUCAAGAAACAAAAAUCAAUGGGGAACACAUCUAUAAAAGAUGGCAAAAGAGAAAAUGCUUGAUUAGACUCUCUUACAGCUUGCUCAGAAGCACCAAUGUAAUUGUUUAGUAGUUCAAGCCCUUCACUGAUAUUUCCUGAAAUAAUAAAAUUAAUUAGUAUAAAUUUUACCCAAAAUUUUAGGAUAAGCAAUGGGAAGUGUAUGCAAUCUCAUUCCCUAAAUAACACAGAAUGCAACUUAUUAUAUCCAAUUUAAACUACAUGCAGAUUAAAAACGUCGUGAAAAUUAGUAACAAGAGGGAUAAAGAUGUCGGUAAUAUAUAGAAGUAACAAAUCUAUUCAGAGGGGAAAAUGAACAUUAAUGCCUUUUUAAAAAGAGAUACAAGACAGAAGUACAUACACAUACAAGAAAAAAAAUAUCAGAUCAUACGCAUCAUAUCCAUCACAAAAAUACCAGUUCUAUCAUUUGGAUUUAACCAGUUGGUUAAUGAAAAAGGUCCCAAUACCAAAAUCUACAAUUUCUAACCCUAUCCCCAAACUGCAGUCUUUGCAACUAAAAAAUUUCUAUUUUUCUUCAAAAUUCAAGAAAAUUAUGGAAAAAUAAUUACUGAACGGGAUUUCUCAAUAUUCUUCUAGGUAAUUCUUAUAACAAUGAUAAUUGAAAAAAAAAUUCGAAAGGAAAGAGGAAAAACGGAACCAAUAAUACAAACAUAGUUGAAAUUAUAAAACAAAAAGGGGAAGAAAAAAGGGGAACUUACAGAGGUUCUCACAAAGGAAAGGAGGCAGCUUUGCGGAGGUGGGGAACGAGUCGGAGAUGAAUCUACGAUUCUUAAUGACAGAAUCGAGGGAUGCACCACUUUUACAACAACGAUGGAAUUGACAGUCAAUGGGUGAAGAAAUACAAGGU
rnacentral:lncRNA from 1 species